rnacentral:rRNA from 1 species
UGCCAGCCGCCGCGGUAAUACGGAGGGAUCGAACGUUAAUCGGAAUUACUGGGCGUAAAGCGCGCGUAGGCGGUUUGGUCAGUGGGAUGUGAAAGCCCCGGGCUCAACCUGGGAAUUGCAUUCCAAACUGCCAAACUAGAGUAUGGUAGAGGGAGGUAGAAUUUCCUGUGUAGCGGUGAAAUGCGUAGAUAUAGGAAGGAAUACCGAUGGCGAAGGCAGCCUCCUGGACCAAUACUGACGCUGAGGUGCGAAAGCGUGGGGAGCAAACAGGAUUAGAUA